CUUAGAGUAAUGUCUAAGUAUCAUUAAGUGAAUACAUAGCUUAAUGAGGGGAACUCAGGGAACUGAAACAUCUAAGUACCUGAAGGAAGAGAAAGAAAUUCGAUUCCGUAAGUAGCGGCGAGCGAACGCGGAUUAGCCCAAACCAAUAAAGUUUUCUUUAUUGGGGUUGCGGACAUAUCAUAACGAAGAGGUAUCGUAAUUGAAGAGGUUUGGAAAGACCCACCACAGAAGGUAAUAGUCCUGUAUGUUAAACGAGAAGACUUCAGAUAUGAUCCAGAGUACCACGGGACACGUGAAACCCUGUGGGAAGCAGGAGGGACCACCCUCCAAGGCUAAAUACUACCUAGUGACCGAUAGCGUAUAGUACCGUGAGGGAAAGGUGAAAAGAACCCCGGGAGGGGAGUGAAAUAGAACCUGAAACCCUGCACUUACAAGCUGUGGAAGCACAUUUCUUGUGUGACCGCGUACUUUUUGUAGAACGGGCCAACGAGUUACGUUAAGUAGCAAGGUUAAGCACUUAAGGUGCGGAGCCGUAGCGAAAGCGAGUUUUAACUGAGCGUUCAGUUACUUGACGUAGACCCGAAACCGGGCGACCUACCCAUGAGCAGGAUGAAGCGAAAGUAAAAUUUCGUGGAGGUCCGAACCCACGAGCGUUGAAAAGCUCGGGGAUGACUUGUGGGUAGCGGUGAAAUUCCAAUCGAGCCCGGAGAUAGCUGGUUCUCCCCGAAAUAGCUUUAGGGCUAGCCUCAAGGUGAGAGAUACGGAGGUAGAGCACUGAAUGUCCUAGGGGGUAUUGCACCUACCGAAGACUAUCAAACUCCGAAUGCCGUCAUCUUAUACUUGGGAGUCAGACUGUGGGUGAUAAGAUUCAUAGUCGAAAGGGCAACAGCCCAGAUCGUCAGCUAAGGUCCCUAAAUGUAAGUUAAGUGGUAAAGGAUGUGGGAUUGCACAGACAACCAGGAUGUUGGCUUAGAAGCAGCCACUCAUUCAAAGAGUGCGUAAUAGCUCACUGGUCGAGUGAUCCUGCGCCGAAGAUUUCCGGGGCUAAAACUUACUACCGAAGCUACGGCAUCAGUAAUGAUGGGUAGGGGAGCUUCCCAUACGGGUUGAAGCAUGACCGUAAGGACAUGUGGACAGUAUGGGAGUGAGAAUGUUGGCAUGAGUAGCGAGAUGUGGGUGAGAAUCCCACAGGCCGUAAACCCAAGGUUUCCAGGGGAAGGUUCGUCCGCCCUGGGUUAGUCGGGACCUAAGCUGAGGCCGAAAGGCGUAGGUGAUGGACAACAGGUUGAUAUUCCUGUACUACCGAUAACCGUUUGAGAGAAGGGAUGACACAGUAGGAUAAGCUAAGCACACUGUUGGUUAUGUGUGCCCAAGCAUUGAGGCAGUCAAAGUAGGCAAAUCCGCUUUGAUAAUGCUGGGAUGUGAUGGGGAGCGAAAUUUAGUAGCGAAGUAGCUGAUUUCACACUGUCAAGAAAAGUCUCUAUCGAGGUUAAAGGUACCCGUACCGCAAACCGACACAGGUGGGUGAGGAGAGUAUCCUAAGGCCAGCGAGAGAACUGUUGUUAAGGAACUCGGCAAAAUGACCCCGUAACUUAGGGAUAAGGGGUGCCACCAUCAGGUGGCCGCAGAGAAUAGGCCCAAGCGACUGUUUACCAAAAACAUAGGUUUCUGCUAAGUCGCAAGACGAUGUAUAGGAGCUGACGCCUGCCCGGUGCUGGAAGGUUAAGGGGAUCUGUUAGAGCAAUCGAAGCAGUGAACUUAAGCCCCAGUAAACGGCGGCCGUAACUAUAACGGUCCUAAGGUAGCGAAAUUCCUUGUCGGGUAAGUUCCGACCCGCACGAAAGGCGUAACGAUUUGGGCACUGUCUCAACAACAGACUCGGUGAAAUUGUAAUUCCGGUGAAGAUGCCGGAUACCUGCGACAGGACGGAAAGACCCCAUGGAGCUUUACUGUAGCUUGACAUUGGGUCUUGGUACUACAUGUACAGGAUAGGUGGGAGGCUUUGAAACCAGGACGCCAGUUUUGGCGGAGCCAUCCUUGGGAUACCACCCUUGUAGUACUGGGACUCUAACCAUAGGCCAUGAAUCUGGUCUUGGGACACUGUCAGGUGGGCAGUUUGACUGGGGCGGUCGCCUCCCAAAAGGUAACGGAGGCGCUCAAAGGUUCUCUCAGUACGGUCGGAAAUCGUACGUAGAGUGUAAAGGCAAAAGAGAGCUUGAUUGCAAGACAUACAGGUCGAGCAAGGAUGAAAAUCGGACUUAGUGAUCCGGUGGUUCUGCGUGGAAGGGCCAUCGCUCAACGGAUAAAAGCUACCCUGGGGAUAACAGGCUUAUCUCCCCCAAGAGUCCACAUCGACGGGGAGGUUUGGCACCUCGAUGUCGGCUCAUCACAUCCUGGGGCUGUAGUAGGUCCCAAGGGUUGGGCUGUUCGCCCAUUAAAGUGGUACGCGAGCUGGGUUCAGAACGUCGUGAGACAGUUCGGUCCCUAUCCGUCGCAGGCGUAGGAAAUUUGAGAAGACCUGUCCUUAGUACGAGAGGACCGGGAUGGACGUACCUCUGGUGUACCAGUUGUCCUGCCAAGGGCAUGGCUGGGUAGCUAUGUACGGAAUGGAUAAGCGCUGAAAGCAUCUAAGCGCGAAGCCAACUUCAAGAUAAGAUUUCCCACCGCAAGGGUAAGACCCCAGAAAGACUAUCUGGUUGAUAGGUCGAAGGUGUAAGUGCAGUAAUGUAUUUAGCUUAUCGAUACUAAUAGGUCGAGGACUUGACCAA
rnacentral:rRNA from 1 species